rnacentral:rRNA from 1 species
GAUCAUGGCUCAGGAUGAACGCUAGCGGCAGGCUUAACACAUGCAAGUCGAGGGGCAGCGCGGGAUAGCAAUAUCCUGGCGGCGACCGGCGGAAGGGUGCGUAACGCGUGAGCGACAUGCCCGUUGCCCGUGGACAACCUGUGGAAACGCCGACUAAUCCCCGAUGGGAUAUUGUGCCGCAUGGCACGAUAUUGAAAGUUACGGCGGCGACGGAUUGGCUCGCGUCCGAUUAG